CCUAUGUGGUCAUGUGACAUCACACUUUAAAACUUCAUCACUUAGUAACACAAAUUCCAGUCCUUCUUACUAUUGUUAACUGAGGACUAUCUACCGUAUAUACCAUUCACUUCUAACAAUGAAUUUGGGCAGUCUCUUUAAAUGACAAGGGACUUCCUUGAGUUCAUUGCAGUCUGUUCCAGUGUAAAGGAAUGGGAUGCCUUCAGACAGAAAGGAUAGAAAUGAUGAAACUGGGAAUAAACUCCAUAGGAAAGGAAGCUGUUACUUCCAAAUAGCAGCCAAGCUGAGGCACAAGAAAACCACAUCAAAAUCCAGAUCUGGAUUUCAGAAUUGUUCAAGUAAGGAUCACCAAGGGAUCUCACAGUGCUAUGGAUGGAACUGGAAUCUGCAGUGGAAUGGGUAGAAGACUGAGGAAGAUUGCUCUGUCAGUCUCCCAGAGCCUAUUAUUGUCUUUUUCCUGUAUUAUCCCUGCUCCAGAGAUUAAAGUUGGAGUUUUUGAGUGA